UGGCAUCAGCGACGGAUUCGCAAUGGAAAAUAUACUAGCCUAUUUUUAACGGAUUUUUGAUCGAUUAGUGACGGAAAUUUAAAAAAUUAUCGACGAACUUUUUCCGUCGCUAAUCUAUGGGAAAUUUUAAAACUCGCCUAAGAUCUCCUCCCAACUGCUCCUCCACGCCGCCGCCGCCGCCCCCGACACCACCAAAGGCUUUCACGACACUGCGCAAUGGCCUGUAGCAAGUUUUGCGAUGGAACUUCAUCCCCAUACAGCAACUUGGCAGCAACGUCAUCCCUCUGUCUCUAUCUUUCUGCAACCUCUCCCAUAUCUGUUCUCGAGCGUCCAUUGUGCCGUUGUCCGCAUCAGCUUUUGUUGGUGCCAUGGAACUUAUACUCUCGAUUGGAGCUCUUCAAAAUAUGAGAAGGUGUGGUAGCUGUUUUUACCAUUGAAAGGGUGGGAGAGACAUUUAAUGAAACUGCAAUACCUCUAAGGUACACACCAAGAAAGUUUGUGGUUCAACAUAAGAAAAAGCUUUUGGUAAUUAUUGAGAGUGAUCAAGGAGCAUAUGCAGCAGAGGAGCGUGAAGCUGCCAAAAAGGAGUCUUUUGAGGCUGCUGGGAUGGGGGAAAAUGGAAGUUCAAAUGCUGAUCAGAUGAAGAAUGGUGGUGAUGAUGAAGACAAAGAUGAUCCACUUUCUGAUGAGUAGUAUGGUUAUCCAAAGGCAGAAUCGGAAAAGUGGGUUUCUUGCAUUAGAGUUCUAGACCCAAGGACGGCAUCCACAACUUGUCUGCUGGAGCUUCAGGACAAUGAAGUUGCAUUUGGCGUGUGCACAGUUAACUUCCAUGACAAGGAGCAUGGAACUCUUUUAGCUGGUACUGCCAAGGGACUCCAAUUUUGGCUUUCUCCAGUUUAAGGUUCAUCUUCUAGUCUUUUCAGAUGCCUUGAAAAGUAGUAUUACAAAAUUUGAAACUCUAGCUACUUCUUUCUCAUGCACAUUAGCUUAUCAUGGAGGACUUUCUCAAACUAUAUUUUCUUUAGAAGAGGCUGAACAAAUAUUAGAGUAAAAUUGGAUGAAAGAAAAGAACAAACGUAAGAGCAAAUGUGACUACAAAUUGAAAAGUAAGUAAAAGUCCAUAUUAAAUCACUGAGGAAUCAAAAGAGAUCUUUACCAUAUAACACAACUGCAGAUUUUACUUUUCCAUGAGGAUGGUUCAGUAAAUUGAUGGAUUUGUUCUAAACUUUAUGAAUAUGGUUAAUUAAUAUGGAUUUAUUCUAACCUUUAUAAAUAUUAUUAAGUAUUUGUGUGUAUGAACAUAAAUUAUAAUGAUUAUGAAUGACGUUUAAUUUAUAUUGAAUAUAUUUUUUAGUUGUAAAUUAUUUAUACUAUAUAGGGAAUGUCUAAAUAAAAAAAAAAUUAUUUUAUUGAUAAUAAUGAAUAUUAUUGAAAAUAUAAAUAAUUUUUGCGACGGAUUUGAUAAAAUAAUCUUAAUAUUUCCAACGGAUUUGCGACGACUUUUGUGAAAAUGGUCUUAAAUUUUCGACAGCUAUUUUUCAUCGCUAAUUAUUUCCGAUAGAUUAGCGAUGGAUUGGUUAUCACAUGGAUUAUGCUUUUUCGACAGAUUUAGAGAUGAAUAAAGUUUGUCAAAUAUUUUUGACGGAAUGGUUCAUCAAAAAUACCGUUGAAAAAAAUUAGUGAUAUGACUAUAAGCGACGGAUAUUAGGCUAUACAAAAUCCAUACUGAAAGUAUUAGCAACGAAUUUAGACUAUCAAUGAUUGAAAUGAUAGUUUUUUUUUUAUUGAACAAUCUCCACACAUUUCAAAGAUUUUUUAUUACUGGGUGUAAAAUUUAGUGUAUAUGUUUCGAAUAUAGUAUCUUUUGGACUAUGAACUAGAUCUAGAUUAAUAAGACUAAACAUACAGAAUAAUUGGUGAAACUUUUGCUUCUAUGAAUAAAAAACUCUUUCUAGUAGGCUAAUAUCCCAUCAAUUUCAUAACACUCUACAGAUCUCAUUGUUAACGCUGUUUUGCGCUAAUAGGCUAUGCGCACGCCUGUUAGUUCAUUAUUGCUUUAGAAAUUAUACCACAAUCUCAUAAAAGCGGCUCUACUUCAUACUUAUAUACAUGAUAUCAUCAAAUGUAUACUGCAAUUUAUAUACCACCCAUAACAGAUAUGAAUGUCAUUAAGAGUUUUCAGCUCAUCCUCUCAUUAAUACAUUUUACCACUUCUCAUACUAUAGGAAAAACAAAUGACAAAUAGUGUUAACAGAACUAACAAGUGACUUGUUAGUACCCAUAUGAAAUAUUUUUCAUGAGAUCUCCCAUCAUAAAAGUUGGGUUCCUACCAUUGUUAACUUCAAAUUGGCUCAUCAAGUCUCGUUAUGUUUAUUUAUUAGUUUUCUUCCUAAAAGUUUAGUCAGAGGAUCGGCCAAAUCCACUUCUAAUUCCACAUAAUUAAUGGGUAUAAUUCCAUUUCUUAGUAGCUGUUUUACCAUAUUUUUUCUUAGAUGAAUAUGUCUAUUUUUACUAUUGAAAGUUUUAAUCUUUGCAAUAGCUAUUGUCUUUUGGCAAUCACAACACACAAAUGAUAUUGAUUUUAUUCUUAAUAUAGUAUUUGCUAAGAAAUUUCUUAGCCACUUAAGUCUCAUUGUCAUCUA